GAUACCGCCCUAGUUCUAACCAUAAACGAUGCCAACCAGCGAUCCGCCUGGGUUCCUCAAAUGACUCGGCGGGCAGCUUCCGGGAAACCAAAGUUUUUGGGUUCCGGGGGAAGUAUGGUUGCAAAGCUGAAACUUAAAGGAAUUGACGGAAGGGCACCACCAGGUGUGGAGCAUGCGGCUUAAUUUGACUCAACACGGGAAAACUUACCCGGCCCGGACACCGGAAGGAUUGACAGAUUGAGAGCUCUUUCUUGAUUCGGUGGGUGGUGGUGCAUGGCCGUUCUUAGUUGGUGGAGCAAUUUGUCUGGUCAAUUCCGAUAACGAUCGAGACUCUAGCCUGCUAAAUAGGCGCUUCCGAUCAUCUACGUCGGGCGCUCUUCUUAGAGGGACAGGCGGCGUCUAGCCGCACGAGACAGAGCGAUAACAGGUCUGUGAUGCCCUUCGAUGCCCGGGGCCGCACGCGCGCUACACUGAAGGAAACAGCGUGUGAUUUCCCUGCUCGACAGAGAAGGGUAACCCGUUGAACCUCCUUCGUGAUAGGGACAGGGGCUUGUAACUGUUCCCCUCGAACGAGGAAUACCCAGUAAGCGCGAGUCAUAAGCUCGUGUUGACUACGUCCCUGCCCUUUGUACACACCGCCCGUCGCUACUACCGAU
rnacentral:rRNA from 1 species